rnacentral:rRNA from 1 species
UAGGGAAUCUUCCGCAAUGGACGCAAGUCUGACGGAGCAACGCCGCGUGAGUGAAGAAGGAUUUCGGUUCGUAAAACUCUGUUGUUAGAGAAGAACAGCGCAUAGAGUAACUGUUAUGCGUGUGACGGUAUCUAACCAGAAAGCCACGGCUAACUACGUGCCAGCAGCCGCUGUAAUACGUAGGUGGCAAGCGUUGUCCGGAUUUAUUGGGCGUAAAGCGAGCGCAGGCGGUCAAUUAAGUCGGAUGUGAAAGCGCCCGGCUCAACCGGGGAGGGUCAUUGGAAACUGGUUGACUUGAGUGCAGAAGAGGAGAGUGGAAUUCCAUGUGUAGCGGUGAAAUGCGUAGAAAUAUGGAGGAACACCAGUGGCGAAGGCGAAUCUCUGGUCUGUAACUGACGCGGAGGCUCGAAAGCGUGGGUAGCAAACAGG